rnacentral:rRNA from 1 species
GAUGAACGCUGGCGGCGUGCCUAAUACAUGCAAGUCGAACGCUGGAAAUCUAGCUUGCUAGAUUGAAGGAGUGGCGAACGGGUGAGUAAUACAUAAGCAACCUACCCACGAAGACUGGGAUAAUCUCUGGAAACGGGGACUAAUACCGGAUAGGUAAUCGGAAGGCAUCUUCUGAUUAUUAAAGGUUAAAAACACUGGUGGAUGGGCUUAUGGCGCAUUAGUUAGUUGGAGAGGUAACGGCCCACCAAGACGAUGAUGCGUAGCCGGCCUGAGAGGGUGAACGGCCACAUUGGGACCGGGACACGGCCCAGACUCCUACGGGAGGCAGCAGUAGGGAAUUUUCGGCAAUGGGGGAUACCCUGACCGAGCAACGCCGCGUGAGUGAUGCCGGCCUUCGGGUUGUAAAGCUCUGUUGUAAGGGAAGAACGGUAGAUAGAGAAUAUCUAAAUGACGGUACCUUACCAGAAAGCCACGGCUAACUACGUG